UGGAAAUUCAACAACCUCAUAUUUAAAGUUUAUUAGAUACUUUCACAGGAUGUUGAAACGUGUUUCAAAACAUCCUUACAUACAAUUUACAAAGGAUUCUCUUUCUUAACAUCCUCCACCUUUCAGUGCCUCGCCUUAUGCAAUUUCUGACUACGAGGAGACAAGGACCUCGGCACCAGGGCCUGGAGCACCCUUUGUUCCAGAGGGGCCAGGCUCAUAAGGAGUUGCAGGUGUUUCGGAUUGUUUUGCAACUUUAGAUGCCUUUUGACCACGUUUCCUGAGAACAGAUAACUAGCUUUCCUUUCAUCCUGUUAUGCCUGGAGCAAGGUUUGGCGAGGAGCCCGCAGUUGGGAAAGCGCUCCGAAGGGAGAGCGGGUCCCGAGGCCGGUGGGGGAGCCUGUGGGGGCCCUUGCGGCCUCCCAAAUCCAGACUCCUGCACAGCUCGAUCCGCCUCCCAGGCGGAAAACCAAAUUCUUUUGAGGCUUCCUCAGUAAAACUGGCACCAUCUCCUAUCACACACAGGCUCGUUGGCUUAUCCUCGCGGGGCACAAAUGCAAGGAAGGUGCGCUGGGCGAGCGGGAGGGAGGGGAGCCAGAACGAGGCUCGAGGAGGGGAACCUGGAUGGAGCCCAGGAUCUGCCCCGGUGCCGGGGGGAGUCCGCGGCUUCGCCGGAUCGCGCCCACACGGCGCUUAUCAAAACGAACAGAGCAAACAGCGCGUGGGCAAGAGCGGGGAGCCGGGCGCGGGGAGGGCACACACGGAGCGGGCGGGAAAGGCGACCCGCCGCAGUCGAGCUGAGGAUCCCGGCAAAGUUGGAACCCGGAGUCUUGGGUCCCUCCCCUCAAAAGCAGAGUCAGAGAAACGUGACGUUAGGGAGGGAGAGUUCCUGACAAAAACGGGGCUGUUUUUAUCUGACUCAGACGACCCAGCCAAAUCUGGACAACAGAAAGUGUUUCGAAUCGCGGCCGGAGGGAAUGAACCCACGAGGCUUUGUGGGGGAGCGGGUGGCCGGUGCGCAAGGGGCGAGGUCCCUCUCGGACCCCGGCAGAGGCUGUGGGGCCCGG
rnacentral:lncRNA from 1 species